UUAGAAUAAAUAGUGGCUUGAACAUACACUCAAAGUGUUAUUCUAUGAUAUGUUUUCUUAAAUAUAAUGUCUAUAUACACUUUAUUCUAUUAUACUUAAACUUUAUUUAUUCUAUUAUACUUUACUCAAAAUGCACACAAUUUCAUGUAAGUAAUAUAGGUAGGUUUGCAAUUAAUCUAUAUAUAGUAAGCCCAUAUACAAUUUAAUAUUCACCAUCUCUCAUAUUCCUUCACCUUCAUAAAAGUUGAGCGGAGCAAAAUAAUUUAAGAAGAAACUCAAGUGCAAUCCAACUAGUCCAUUUUGAAUCAGGAAUUAGAGUUGAAGAAAAAGGGAUGGCACACUCUAUUGAGAUGACUUCAAUAGAUGACCAAAUUCCACUGCUUCCUCAAAGUGAAAAUGAUGAGAUAGAAAAAGAAAGUAAAAUGCAUCCAUCAGGGCCUCAAAUAAAUCAAAUCUUUGAUGAAAUGUUUAAGGAUUUGGACAAAUCAUCCUUACAAUCGAGUACCAUAUUUAAAGUGACUACGUGAAUCAAAUUCAGAUGCCUAUACACCAAAGAUGGUCUCUAUUGCUGAAAUUUGUCAUGAAACAAGUUUAUUUGAUAUUAAGUUUGAGAAUGGAUUGAUGACAAUACCUUCUAUUGAUGUGGUGGAUAGUACUGAAACCCUCCUGCCAAAUUUCAUUGCUUAUGAGCAACAAUCAACUGAUUUAGAAUAUCUAUAUUUCAGUGAUUAUGCAACUUUCAUGGAUCAUCUUAUCGACUCAGAUAAAGAUGUGAAUUUGCUCCGCCGU